rnacentral:lncRNA from 1 species
AGCUUUGGGAUAGUGAUGCCAACGAUACCUGAAGAAACUGAAAACAAUCUCACCUUAAUAAUAACGGGUGUUGGGGCAAAGAAGAGAGGGAGAGAGAUUUACUGAAGCGUUGGAGAGAAUUGCCAGACGAGCCUGAAGCGUCCGAAUCAUCGACACGUCUGCGGAAAAAAAGGGGACGUUUGGGUUCUGGCAGAUUAACCUCUAUAUGCGAAUGCGCCGAGCCGAACUGGACAUACGUACGUGUAGUGUUUAUUUUGUUACUAGAAA